rnacentral:rRNA from 1 species
AUUGAACGCUGGCGGCAUGCCUUACACAUGCAAGUCGAACGGCAGCACGGGUGCUUGCACCUGGUGGCGAGUGGCGAACGGGUGAGUAAUACAUCGGAACAUGUCCUGUAGUGGGGGAUAGCCCGGCGAAAGCCGGAUUAAUACCGCAUACGAUCUACGGAUGAAAGCGGGGGACCUUCGGGCCUCGCGCUAUAGGGUUGGCCGAUGGCCGAUUAGCUAGUUGGUGGGGUAAAGGCCUACCAAGGCGACGAUCAGUAGCUGGUCUGAGAGGACGACCAGCCACACUGGGACUGAGACACGGCCCAGACUCCUACGGGAGGCAGCAGUGGGGAAUUUUGGACAAUGGGCGAAAGCCUGAUCCAGCAAUGCCGCGUGUGUGAAGAAGGCCUUCGGGUUGUAAAGCACUUUUGUCCGGAAAGAAAUCCUUGGCCCUAAUACGGUCGGGGGAUGACGGUACCGGAAGAAUAAGCACCGGCUAACUACGUG